CUGAUAGCUCAGUUGGAUAGAGCAACAGCCUUCUAAGCUGUGGGUCUUGGGUUCGAAUCCCA
rnacentral:tRNA from 1 species